CCUACGGGUGGCUGCAGUGGGGAAUAUUGCACAAUGGGCGCAAGCCUGAUGCAGCCAUGCCGCGUGUGUGAGGAAGGCCUUCGGGUUGUAAAGCACUUUCAGCGGGGAGGAAGGCGUUAAGGUUAAUAACCUUGGCGAUUGACGUUACCCGCAGAAGAAGCACCGCCUAACUCCGUGCCAGCAGCCGCGGUAAUACGGAGGGUGCAAGCGUUAAUCGGAAUUACUGGGCGUAAAGCGCACGCAGGCGGUCUGUCAAGUCGGAUGUGAAAUCCCCGGGCUCAACCUGGGAACUGCAUUCGAAACUGGCAGGCUAGAGUCUUGUAGAGGGGGGUAGAAUUCCAGGUGUAGCGGUGAAAUGCGUAGAGAUCUGGAGGAAUACCGGUGGCGAAGGCGGCCCCCUGGACAAAGACUGACGCUCAGGUGCGAAAGCGUGGGGAGCAAACAGGAUUAGAUACCCCAGUAGUC
rnacentral:rRNA from 1 species